rnacentral:rRNA from 1 species
CGUGAGUGAAGAAGGCCUUCGGGUUGUAAAGCUCUGUCGGGAGGGACGAACAUACUUAGGGUUAACAGCCCUAGGUACUGACGGUACCUCUAAAGGAAGCACCGGCUAACUUCGUGCCAGCAGCCGCGGUAAUACGAGGGGUGCAAGCGUUGCUCGGAAUUAUUGGGCGUAAAGGGUAGGUAGGUGGUCUCAUUUGUCUGGGGUGAAAGCCUUGAGCUUAACUCAAGAAGUGCCCCGGAAACGGUGAGACUGGAGUCCUGGAGAGGGUCGUGGAAUUCCCGGUGUAGCGGUGAAAUGCGUAGAGAUCGGGAGGAACACCAGAGGCGAAGGCGGCGACCUGGACAGGUACUGACACUCAACUACGAAAGCGUGGGGAGCAAACAGGAUUAGAUACCCUGGUAGUCCACGCUGUAAACGAUGGGUACUAGGUUUGGCGGGUCUUGACCCCUGCUGAACCGGCGCUAACGCAAUAAGUACCCCGCCUGGGAAGUACGGUCGCAAGACUA